rnacentral:rRNA from 1 species
UACGGAGGGUGCAAGCGUUGUCCGGAAUCACUGGGCGUAAAGGGCGCGUAGGCGGCUCAUGAAGGCUGUGGUGAAAGUCCGGGGCUCAACCUCGGAUCGGCCGUGGCGACUCGUGGGCUGGAGCACUGUAGAGGCGGGUGGAAUUCCGGGUGUAGCGGUGGAAUGCGUAGAGAUCCGGAAGAACACCGGUGGCGAAGGCGGUCUGCUGGGGUAAUGCUGACACUGAUGCGCGACAGCGUGGGGAGCAAACAGG